rnacentral:rRNA from 1 species
AGUGAACGCUGGCGGUAGGCCUAACACAUGCAAGUCGAACGGCAGCACAGUAAGAGCUUGCUCUUACGGGUGGCGAGUGGCGGACGGGUGAGGAAUACAUCGGAAUCUACUUUUUCGUGGGGGAUAACGUAGGGAAACUUACGCUAAUACCGCAUACGGCCUACGGGUGAAAGCAGGGGAUCUUCGGACCUUGCGCGAUUGAAUGAGCCGAUGUCGGAUUAGCUAGUUGGCGGGGUAAAGGCCCACCAAGGCGACGAUCCGUAGCUGGUCUGAGAGGAUGAUCAGCCACACUGGAACUGAGACACGGUCCAGACUCCUACGGGAGGCAGCAGUGGGGAAUAUUGGACAAUGGGCGCAAGCCUGAUCCAGCCAUACUGCGUGGGUGAAGAAGGCCUUCGGGUUGUAAAGCCCUUUUGUUGGGAAAGAAAAGCAGCAGGUUAAUACCCCGCUGUUCUGACGGUACCCAAAGAAUAAGCACCGGCUAACUUCGUG